GACGAACGCUGGCGGCGUGCCUAAUACAUGCGAGUAGAACGCUGAAGGAGGAGCUUGCUUCUCUGGAUGAGUUGCGAACGGGUGAGUAACACGUAGGUAACCUGCCUGGUAGCGGGGGAUAACUAUUGGAAACGAUAGCUAAUACCGCAUAAGAGUAGAUGUUGCAUGACAUUUGCUUAAAAGGUGCAAUUGCAUCACUACCAGAUGGACCUGCGUUGUAUUAGCUAGUUGGUGGGGUAACGGCUCACCAAGGCGACGAUACAUAGCCGACCUGAGAGGGUGAUCGGCCACACUGGGACUGAGACACGGCCCAGACUCCUACGGGAGGCAGCAGUAGGGAAUCUUCGGCAAUGGACGGAAGUCUGACCGAGCAACGCCGCGUGAGUGAAGAAGGUUUUCGGAUCGUAAAGCUCUGUUGUAAGAGAAGAACGAGUGUGAGAGUGGAAAGUUCACACUGUGACGGCAUCUUACCAGAAAGGGACGGCUAACUACGUG
rnacentral:rRNA from 1 species